rnacentral:rRNA from 1 species
AGUGGGGAAUUUUCCGCAAUGGGCGAAAGCCUGACGGAGUGACGCCGCGUGUGGGACGAAGGCCUUCGGGUCGUAAACCACUGUCAGUGGGAAAGAAGGGUGUCGGGGCUAAUACCUCCGGCAUCUGACGGUACCUGCAGAGGAAGCCCCGGCCAACUCUGUGCCAGCAGCCGCGGUAAGACAGAGGGGGCAAGCGUUGCUCGGAAUUACUGGGCGUAAAGGGCGCGUAGGCGGGAUGGCAAGUCGGUCGUGAAAUCCCUCGGCUCAACCGAGGAACGUCGAUCGAUACUGCCGUUCUUGAGGAUUGCAGAGGAGACUGGAAUUCCCGGUGUAGCGGUGAAAUGUGUAGAGAUCGGGAGGAACACCGGUGGCGAAGGCGGGUCUCUGGGCAAUUCCUGACGCUGAGGCGCGAAAGCGUGGGGAGCAAA